rnacentral:lncRNA from 1 species
GCGAUCCUGGAGGGAUGGAUCCGGGCCCGGACUGGAAUGGACUCCUCCGCCUGCCUGGGCCGAGGCGGAAGGGGGCGAGGGGGGAGGAGGAGGGAGAAAGCCAGCGCAAAAAAAAAAAAAAUCACCGGAGGAGCCAGGAAGAGAGGGACGCGGCGGCGGUCCCGCCAGUGGAAUCGAAGCCCGCCAGGAGCCAGAGACAGUGAGCCUUCAGACAACAGUGGUAACCUGAUCUACCAAACUAACUCAUCUGGAUUGAGGAAGUGA